UUGUGGGGGUUUGGGUGUGACUCAUGUCUGGAUUCGGGGAAACUCCUGGUGGGUGGUCACUGUGCGGAGAGAGUGACAAAAAGUCAUAGAGAACAAAGGCAGAUAUUUGACUUUCAUCUCAGCUUAAGAGUAUAUAGAACAAGAGUGGCAGCCAGGAGAAACUGCUGGCAUGCGACAGAAGUCACGAGUAGCGUAAGAAGUUCAUGGUUUAUGCCUGAAGACGGACUCAGACUGCCUUAAAUUUGAUCCUUUGAUACGGCUGCAGUGUGAUCUCUGGGCCUGACAUGAAGUAUCUUUGCAGUCUUGGGAGAGAGCAGUUCCCCCCCGACUCCUCACCCCUCCCACUCUCUCCUGCUGCAGCGAGGGGUUGCUGGUCCUCUGACCUCAGUAAUGAUGGAGGGUCAGGAGUCAGGUUGUGUGAAGGAACCGUCUACGUCUGCAGAGCGCGUGAGGAGCGCCUGGGAACCAGAGCUCGCCGUGUGAUCCCGUGAAAUUGAUCCCUCCAGAGGGGACCAGUGGUGUGUAUUUAUUUUUAUGUGUGGUGGCUGUGUUUGUGUGCAUGUGUGUGUGUAUGAGGGGAGCGACCGCGACAGGAGACACACCAGCGGAAAUCGUAGAUCCCAGUGGUUGGCCUGUCGUGCCGUGACCAGGGUGCCCUGUCUGCCUGCCUGUCUGCAGUAGGAAUGACAGGAGACGGUGAAGGAAAAGCUUCGGCUGAGACGACUUUACGCUUCACUGUCUCGCCUGAAAUAGAGAAAGAAGCUGAUUAAAGCCCCCAAAAUGUCUCACAAGCCCAUCAAUCUCAAACAGCCAACAGAUAAAGAAAGGAAUUAUGGGAAAUAUGUUUAUUUACUUUCUUGCCAAGAGUUAGAUGAGGAGAUCGAUACUACUCUUGUGUUUGGAUGGUAAACAUGUAGCUGGAGCCAGCAGCCGGUUAGCUUAGCUUAGCUUAGCUUAGCAAAAAGACUGGAAGUAGGGGGAAACAGCUAGCCUGACUCUGUCCAGAGGCUACAAACACCUCUAAAGCUCACUAAUGAACACAUCUGAUUUGUUUAUUGCAAAUAGAAAUUGUGUAAAAGCUACAAGUUGUGGUUUUACGGGGGGUAAAAUGCCACUUCUUCUUCUGAGAGCAGUAAUUCAACAGGGUAACCAGCUGCUUGCUGCAGCAGUGGAAGCCUAUUUAUCUUCUCAUCUCAUCUAAAUCUCAGCAAGAAGGCGAAAGAGCAUAUUUUGCCAGAAAUGUUGAACUAUUCCUUUAAGUCGAUUUAACACUCAUAAUGACGUCCUUUCACUUAAGUAAAUUUGCAGACCAGUCUAUUCAAGAAUGACCCUUCAGUCUCUCUCUCAACAUUAAAGCCAACAUAGACAAAACAUCUACAAUAUCAUCGUGACUGGGACAACAACUCAAUCUGUUGAGGAAGAUCAAGUGAGAGGAGCUCCAGAACAGCUACUGAUGAACCUUGUGAGAUUGUUUUGUCAAGUAUUAUUUGUACUUGUACUUGUUUGUACUGGAGCAAAAGACCUGAGCACUUCCUCUUCCACUGUCCUGGUGUACAUGCCUGCAUAAAUCUAAUAGUAUAUCUUGUCUUCCUCGCGCUUCAGCAGUGUGAAUGCAUUGUCUAAUCCCAUUAAAGCAGUUUUAAAAUGGCUUCAAAUCGGGAAGAGGUCAUGUUAAAGAGAGCAACACAUGAGAAGAGUUUGUUUUGAUGUGUGGUGUGUGUGUGUGUGUAUGUGUGUGUGUGUGUGUGUGUGUGUCAUUAUCUGUGAGACAGACCCCUCCAGUGAAGGCCUAGCUACUCUUUCAUCUUCAGCAUCUGCUAUUCUUCUUAGAGCUCUCAGGCCAAACCUCCACUGUCUGUCUGCUCUGCCUAUUUAGAUGCGACCACUUCAGUCAUAUCUGCAGGCUCGUUAUGGCAGCUACAAAACCAAUCCCUCCUUGUGCUUAUUCAAUCAGAGAGGGAUCUUGUGAGCUUUCUUGUCUGGCUGCUCCCUCUCCGAGGCUUUGUACAGACAUUUCGAAACAAUCAGAUCUAUUAGUUGGGACUUGUGAUGUCUGAUCCCUCCGCUGUACAUGGGGCCGUCGUGGAAAUGCGGCACACCCCGUUCAGAAAUUCCUUGAGGUUUGCUAAAAAAGAAAGAGAGAAAAUUUGUCAUGGAUCCAGUCAUAAUCUUUGAAGCAAAGCCAUGAAUGUCUUUAAGAAUUGAAUUCCACUAUAUUGCAAUGUGAAGGAUGGUGAUGGUAACAGAAGGUGUCACAUCCAACAGACCAACUGGGGAAAGAUUUGCACAUUUCUUUUACAAAGAAACAAAGCAGUGGAGGAGAAAAGAGUCAAAAUACAACAAUGUGAUUUCCUUCCAGUAUACAAAAGGCUGAGCAAAAGUUUAUGAAC